rnacentral:rRNA from 1 species
ACAGGUCUUCGGAUGCUGACGAGUGGCGAACGGGUGAGUAAUACAUCGGAACGUGCCCAGUAAUGGGGGAUAGCUCGGCGAAAGCCGGAUUAAUACCGCAUACGCCCUGAGGGGGAAAGUGGGGGACCGCAAGGCCUCACGUUAUUGGAGCGGCCGAUGGCUGAUUAGCUAGUUGGUAGGGUAAAGGCCUACCAAGGCGACGAUCAGUAGCUGGUCUGAGAGGACGAUCAGCCACACUGGGACUGAGACACGGCCCAGACUCCUACGGGAGGCAGCAGUGGGGAAUUUUGGACAAUGGGGGAAACCCUGAUCCAGCAAUGCCGCGUGUGCGAAGAAGGCCUUCGGGUUGUAAAGCACUUUUGUCAGGGAAGAAAUCCUUUGGGCUAAUACCCUAGGGGGAUGACGGUACCUGAAGAAUAAGCACCGGCUAACUACGUGCCAGCAGCCGCGGUAAUACGUAGGGUGCAAGCGUUAAUCGGAAUUACUGGGCGUAAAGCGUGCGCAGGCGGUUGUGUAAGACAGGUGUGAAAUCCCCGGGCUUAACCUGGGAAUUGCAUUUGUGACUGCACGACUAGAGUGUGUCAGAGGGGGGUGGAAUUCCACGUGUAGCAGUGAAAUGCGUAGAUAUGUGGAGGAACACCAAUGGCGAAGGCAGCCCCCUGGGAUAACACUGACGCUCAUGCACGAAAGCGUGGGGAACAAACAGGAUUAGAUACCCUGGUAGUCCACGCCCUAAACGAUGUCAACUAGUUGUUGGGGAUUUACUUCCUUGGUAACGUAGCUAACGCGUGAAGUUGACCGCCUGGGGAGUACGGC